GGGGUGGCGGGGUUUCCAGCCCCAGCACAGGGGCGCAGGGAGGUGCCCGUGUCCUAAGGUGGAGGCAGCGCAAGGCAGGAGGCAGAUGUGGUGGCUAGAGAUUUAAUCACUGUCUUGGCCUGUGAGGACCAGAGAUGUAGUGGGUGGAAGGAUCAUGGAUCUCUGAGGUUUUUGAAGAUCAGAAUGACCACACUGGCUCCGAAAUUUCACAAGAGGUAGAAAUGCCUUUCUUAUACCACGGUUACUGUGGUAUUCUCCAACCUCAUCUAAUGCAAGGAGACACAGAGCACCGUGCCUUUGCCAGUCAAGGACGAAAACCAGACAGGAAUGAGAGAGAGCAACUCCAGGCCUCCAUCUGCUCCCGUGUGGCAGGCUAGCGUUGGCAAACCUUUUCUUAACGGGCCAGAUAAUAAAUACGGCUUGCAGGCGACAUGGUCU